rnacentral:rRNA from 1 species
UACGUAGGGUGCGAGCGUUAAUCGGAAUUACUGGGCGUAAAGCGUGCGCAGGCGGUUUUGUAAGCCAGAUGUGAAAUCCCCGGGCUUAACCUGGGAAUGGCAUUUGGGACUGCAAGGCUUGAGUGCGGCAGAGGAGACUGGAAUUCCUGGUGUAGCAGUGAAAUGCGUAGAUAUCGGGAAGAACACCCGUGGCGAAGGCGGCUCUCUGGGACGGUACUGACGGCUGAGACGCGAAAGCGUGGGGAGCGAACGA